AAUGGACGAAAGUCUGACGGAGCGACGCCGCGUGGAUGAAGAAGGCCGAAAGGUUGUAAAAUCCUUUUGUCGGGGAAGAAUAAGCGUGGGAGGGAAUGCCCGCGUGAUGACAUGAACCGGCGAAUAAGCCCCGGCUAACUACGUGCCAGCAGCCGCGGUAACACGUAGGGGGCAAGCGUUGUUCGGAAUUACUGGGCGUAAAGGGCAUGUAGGCGGUUUUGUAAGCCUGGCGUGAAAUUCUGCAGCUUAACUGUAGGACUGCGCUGGGAACUGCGAGACUGGAGUCACGGAGAGGGAGCCAGAAUUCCAGGUGUAGGGGUGAAAUCUGUAGAUAUCUGGAAGAAUACCAAUGGCGAAGGCAGGCUUCUGGCCGAUGACUGACGCUGAGGUGCGAAAGCGUGGGUAGCAAA
rnacentral:rRNA from 1 species